GGUCGUGACUCAGCAUGAUAUAAGAGUCUCACCAGGGUUCGAAUAACGAUAUUGGUACCCUGAAAGAUGGAAAUUGUUUCACUUCUACUUACCAAUGAAACCAAUGAAAAUUGGUAUGUGAAUUUCAGAGGAGAUUAGCUAGUCUUCGUCUGACUUGACAUAGGAGUUAGUGCUCCUUGCCAAGUUUACAAGUUUAAACGUAAACUUGGUGUUGUCCCGGGAUAUUUCCUGGUCACGGUUGUCGGGUUCUGCCCAUCACAGGGAAUCAUGCCUCUGGAGGUAAUCUUAAUUACCUCUUUUUU
rnacentral:lncRNA from 1 species